AAACCAACUGGGAUUGCCUUAGUAACGGCGAGUGAAGCGGUAAAAGCUCAAAUUUGAAAUCUGGUACUUUCAGUGCCCGAGUUGUAAUUUGUAGAAUUUGUCUUUGAUUAGGUCCUUGUCUAUGUUCCUUGGAACAGGACGUCAUAGAGGGUGAGAAUCCCGUUUGGCGAGGAUACCUUUUCUCUGUAAGACUUUUUCGAAGAGUCGAGUUGUUUGGGAAUGCAGCUCAAAGUGGGUGGUAAAUUCCAUCUAAAGCUAAAUAUUGGCGAGAGACCGAUAGCGAACAAGUACAGUGAUGGAAAGAUGAAAAGAACUUUGAAAAGAGAGUGAAAAAGUACGUGAAAUUGUUGAAAGGGAAGGGCAUUUGAUCAGACAUGGUGUUUUUGCAUGCACUCGCCUCUCGUGGGCUUGGGCCUCUCAAAAAUUUCACUGGGCCAACAUCAAUUCUGGCAGCAGGAUAAAUCAUUAAGAAUGUAGCUAUUCGGUAUGUUAUAGCUUUUUGGAAUACUGUUA
rnacentral:rRNA from 1 species